GCCUCUGUGGCUAAGUGGUAGAGCUUUCAACUACCACACCAGAGACCCGAGUUCGAGCCCGGCUUGUGACG